UACGUAGGGUGCAAGCGUUUGUCCGGAUUUAUUGGGCGUAAAGAGUUCGUAGGCGGUUGAUUAAGUCUGGUGUUAAAGCCUGUCGCUCAACGACAGCAUGGCAUUGGAAACUGGUGAGCUAGAGUGUGUCAGAGGUUACGGGAAUUCCUGGUGUAGCGGUGAAAUGCGUAGAGAUGCGGAGGAACACCGAUGGCGAAGGCAGCCCCCUGGGUCGACACUGACGCUCAGGCACGAAAGCGUGGGGAGCAAACAGG
rnacentral:rRNA from 1 species